UCUGUACCUGGAACUAUAUUUUUCGAUUGUGAUAAAAAAUGAAAAUAUUUGAGGACCGAGCUGUAACCGGAACUGAAACUUUCUCUCAUUGUAUUUUCGCCUAU